rnacentral:rRNA from 1 species
UACGUAGGGUGCAAGCGUUGUCCGGAAUUAUUGGGCGUAAAGAGCUCGUAGGCGGCUUGUCGCGUCGGCUGUGAAAACCUGGGGCUCAACCCUGGGCCUGCAGCCGAUACGGGCAAGCUAGAAUUCGGUAGGGGAGACUGGAAUUCCUGGUGUAGCGGUGAAAUGCGCAGAUAUCAGGAGGAACACCGGUGGCGAAGGCGGAUCUCUGGGCCGAUACUGACGCUGAGGAGCGAAAGCGUGGGGAGCGAACAGG